rnacentral:misc_RNA from 1 species
GCUUUAUUGUAAGUUAUUUGUUGCACCUUCUAUAGUGAACUAAUAAGUCAUGUUCCUUGUCUAGUAUGAAUAGAUUGAAGAUUUAUUUCCAUCGUUAUUAAAGGAGCACCUUAGGCUCAAGGCUCACUUGGCUCGAAUCCUAGUGCCUUGUGCGCCUAAGCAUGCGCCUUUGUUCUAGGCACAAGACUCUACAAAGGCAUGCCUUCUUUAUAUGCACCUUUGGCAAGUACUUCCAUUAGCAAAAAGUACUAACACUUAAACUUGAUAUUUGUUGAUGUAUUAAAAUCCUAUAUUGAUGAACUAAAAAGUUUUCCGCAUUAGUAUCACUAGUGAUAACUAGUCAUUAAAAUCU